UACGGAGGGAGCUAGCGUUAUUCGGAAUUAUUGGGCGUAAAGAGCUCGUAGGCGGUUCGUCGCGUCGGCUGUGAAAACCCGGAGCUCAACUCCGGGCCUGCAGUCGAUACGGGCGGACUUGAGUGUUGCAGGGGAGACUGGAAUUCCUGGUGUAGCGGUGAAAUGCGCAGAUAUCAGGAGGAACACCGGUGGCGAAGGCGGGUCUCUGGGCAACUACUGACGCUGAGGAGCGAAAGCGUGGGGAGCGAACAGG
rnacentral:rRNA from 1 species